rnacentral:rRNA from 1 species
UACGGAGGGUGCAAGCGUUAUCCGGAUUCACUGGGUUUAAAGGGUGCGUAGGCGGGCAGGUAAGUCCGUGGUGAAAUCUCCAAGCUUAACUUGGAAACUGCCGUGGAUACUAUUUGUCUUGAAUAUAGUGGAGGUGAGCGGAAUAUGUCAUGUAGCGGUGAAAUGCUUAGGUAUGACAUAGAACACCCAUUGCGAAGGCAGCUCGCUACACUAUUAUUGACGCUGAGGCACGAAAGCGUGGGGAUCAAACAGG